rnacentral:snRNA from 1 species
GCCUACUGAACAAAUUGAGGC